rnacentral:rRNA from 1 species
AUGUCGGGGCGCGGCAAGGGAGGCAAGGGUCUGGGCAAGGGCGGCGCCAAGCGCCACCGGAAGGUGCUGCGGGACAACAUCCAGGGCAUCACCAAGCCGGCGAUCCGGCGCCUGGCGCGGCGGGGCGGCGUGAAGCGCAUCUCGGGGCUCAUCUACGAGGAGACCCGCGGCGUGCUCAAGAUCUUCCUCGAGAACGUCAUCCGCGACGCCGUCACCUACACCGAGCACGCCCGCCGCAAGACCGUCACCGCCAUGGACGUCGUCUACGCCCUCAAGCGCCAGGGACGCACCCUCUACGGAUUCGGGGGCUAG